rnacentral:rRNA from 1 species
GAUGAACGCUGGCGGCGUGCCUAAUACAUGCAAGUCGAGCGAACAGACGAGGAGCUUGCUCCUCUGACGUUAGCGGCGGACGGGUGAGUAACACGUGGAUAACCUACCUAUCAGACUGGGAUCACUUCGGGAAACCGGAGCUAAUACCGGAUAAUAUAUUGAACCGCAUGGUUCAAUAGUGAAAGACGGUUUUGCUGUCACUUAUAGAUGGAUCCGCGCCGCAUUAGCUAGUUGGUAAGGUAACGGCUUACCAAGGCGACGAUGCGUAGCCGACCUGAGAGGGUGAUCGCCCACACUGGAGCUUAGACACGGUCCAGACUCCUACGGGAGGCCGCAGUAGGGAAUCUGCCGCAGUGGGCGAAAGCCUGACGGAGCAACCCCGCGUGAGUGAUGAAGGUCUUCGGUUCGUAAUACUCUGUUAUUAGGGAAGAACAAAUGUGUAAGUAACUAUGCACGUCUUGACGGUACCUAAUCAGAAAGCCACGGCUAACUACGUG